UACGGAGGGUGCGAGCGUUGUCCGGAUUUAUUGGGUUUAAAGGGUGCGUAGGUGGCGUGUUAAGUCCGGGGUGAAAGCCCACAGCUCAACUGUGGAACUGCCCUGGAUACUGGCAGGCUUGAGUCCAGACGAGGUUGGCGGAAUAGAAGCUGUAGCGGUGAAAUGCAUAGAUAGCUUCUAGAACCCCGAUUGCGUAGGCAGCUGACUAGGCUGGUACUGACACUGAGGCACGAAAGCGUGGGGAGCGAACAGG
rnacentral:rRNA from 1 species